rnacentral:misc_RNA from 1 species
AUGAUUCUUUUUCAAUGGGAGAUUUAAGCUGCCAAAGCAUUAUUUUAGAGCAGUCCUCUUGUGGGAUUCCUUUUAGCUUGGUCUCAUCAUCAAGAGCUACUUGCUUCACAAAUUUGAUUGCAUUCUGUCACCCAAAAACAAAAAUUAAAAAAUUUCUCUCAACAAUUAAUUAAGUACAUCAUUAUUCAUAAGAAGAAACUUUUUAAAAUGUAUACAUAUUUAAUGAUUUUAUUUUCCAUAUUAUUAAGAAGAUGCAUUUGUAUGAACUCUACAAGUUAUUGGAUGUCAUCUUGGGUUCAAUGGUAAGUCUCUUCCUAUGGGGUUGAGUCAAAUUGAGGAUAUUAACCUGUGAUUCCGAACGUCGGGCCUAAAGGGACUAUGACAGUCAUACCCGGAGAGCCCUCAUUUUGUAUAAUUAAAAAAAAAAUUACAAGCUUAAUCUUUACAUGAAACUACUAUAAAGUUUCUAAAUGAUGCAAAAGUGACCUCAGAGAGAUUAAUGGGGAAAAAUUUACACAAUUAUUUUAAAAAGUUUAAUGCUAAAACUAAUUUGGGUUGCAGUUAAGAGAAAGAAAAAUAUGAUCAUUAUCAUCCCAUUACCUAAUGUGUGUAUAUUAAGAUAAAUUAAUGAUUUUAAUAAGGUUGGAGGUAGUUGAGUAAACCCAAAAGAAAAAUGAUUAAUUUCAAACCAUAUAUCUUAAUGUCUAGUAGUUGGUAUGAUUGGACCUCAGCUGCAUGGGUGAAGAAGCUAUUAUUAGUUUAAGAUUCUAUCUUUUUCUCACAUUAGAAGUAAAGGAAGAUGUAAGCUUUUGAACAAGUUCUUUGCAUGGAGCAUCAUUACAAGGUAGGCAAAAUCUCAUACUUUGAGAACUUUGAUGUUAAUAAUAAAUUGAAGCAACAUGGAGAGUAAAUAAUCAACAUCAUUUCUUGAUAUGUUUGAUAAAAAAAAGAAAAUUAUUGGCUCCACUUGGGUAUUGCUUCAAUUUUAAUUUGGAUGAUUUCAAUUAAAAAUAAAAAUUAUUAUUAUUUUAUAAAGUUGUAGUGACAAAUUUUUUAUAAAUAAAUAUAUAAUUAUAGGUUUUAAUGAAAUGAACAUACCUGUGAAGUGUGUGGAACAGAAGAAGGGCGACCCCAUCUCUCAGGAUCCCAAAGAAUAGAACUGUUGAAAGCAAAACUUGAAAUAUGAAUAGGAGGUCUUGCAUCUGUUUCAUUGUUCAUUUUCUUCAGAUGCCAUCCAAUAACUUGUGAGGAAUCACAUACAGGUCCUUCGAUUUUCACCUUGUUCUUGUUUGCAGAUAGUAAUGCCAUUGGCCAUGUCCCAAAUACCUCAAUUUCUCUGAGCUCAUCAAAGAAGGCAAGAUCAUAGAUAUUGGAAAGGCCAGCAAAAUGAACAAUCCCACUAAGCCUGUGCUGCUCAAUGUGCCUAAGAGCAACAUUUCUCUGAUGAUCCAGUUCAGCUUGUGGAUCUGUAAAGUUCUCUUUGGAAACCAAAUGCCUAUACAUAAUACCUGUUUUUCUAAGAAUCUCUGAUGCUUCAUUAGAGUCUUUUUGCCCCUCCACAACAAUCCACAGCAAUGGUGGAGGAACCAACCUUAUAGUAUUAGCUAAUCUCCUCAAAAACACCCCUUGAUACCGAUCCUUAGUACUCAUUGGCGUGACGAUAAUUAUUAGUCUUCUUGGAUUCAACAUCAGUUCUUCUUCUUCUUCUUCUCUUUUACUGCUGUAUAGAAUUUCCUUCUCCUGAGGUGCUACUGUACAUACUCUUUAUUUUUCCUCCCUUCAGAUGCUGUUGGAUAUAAUAUUUAUUUUAUAUGGUUUUGCAUUCGGCUUUCUUAGGUAACUGCCAAAGAAAUUAAAGUGCCAGGUUUGGAUCAUAUUUGCAAUCAAAAUCUAUUUGCUAUAUGUGUAUCACACAUCAACAGCACAUAUAAAUAUAUUUUUAUUUAGGUGCCAGCUGUUAUUCAUCUAAUUAGCAUGAAAGCAAAUUUUGGUUUUGUUUUUCAAUACAUGCCUGUACUGACAAUGCUGUCUGAGAAAUCAAAAUGACAAGCUGGCUAAGAUUGUAGAUGUUGUUUCAUAUAGGAGCAUGGAACUAUAACUUUUUGCACCAAGUCUCUUAGUGCGAAUUUUUCAACAGCAUGACAGACUGUCAACUAUGGUACCAAUACUUUUAUGCAGGAGAGUUGUGAUGUUCCAUUGGAUAGCAACAUGUCUGGAUUUGCUGGGCAUUAAUGUCAGCAUAUGGGUUUUAAAUGUGCGUUCACUGCUUACUUCUAUCUGAUAGAUGAUGCAGCACCCUAGGCUCAAGGUGCAUCCAAAUAAGCUGAGAUAAUAUUUUGUUUAGUUAUUUACUCAUCGGCUUGGAGUGGGAUACCUUUUUUUUUCUUAAUUUAUGUCAAUUAGGAAAAGCAUGAGAGUCAAAGCUUUCACAAAUAUGGACAGUCCCCAGUGCAUCUUCUCUUUGGGUGAGGCUGAUGGGUUAUCAUGUUUCGGGUAUAAAGCAUUCUGAGCAGAAAUUGUACCUAAGCUCCACAUUUGAAUGAAGCAUAUUAUUGCAGAUAUAUAUAUAUGGGUGAGCGUUUGAUGUAGAAGAAAUCUAAAUGUACAAGUAUAGCGCAGUCAGUUUUGUAUUUUUACAUUUGUUUUAUUGAUCUAAUUGUCUAUCAUUUGGUGAUUAAAAA